UGUUCACAUGCGUUGUAGUCGCGAUACUGAAGCUCUGCAAUGCCCUAUUGUAAUGGCCCCAGUCAAAUCAGUCGCGACCGUCGUAUCAGGAUAGCCGAUGCUGGUUCGGCUCCACCAGCGCAAAGGGUUUAUAGGAAGCAACUCCGAAUUGAAGCUGGAGCUUAACGGUUCUGAUCGGGCUCCUACAGAUGAAGGCGUCGAAUGGAUCUCCCGAACGUGUUGGUUCCUCGUGUCGCUAUUGGGCCCAAAGAAAAACCCACGUCAACGUGGGCUUUCCACCUGGUUGACGUGUCCGAUUAGACAACGGAUUUGACUUUACAAUUUAAUCAAUUACCUGAUAAGAUGGCCAAACUUCGAGCAAAUUAUCGGUUUGGUUUCUAAUUGGUUCGAUUAUACGUGCAGCUCUAAAAUAAUCAUAACGGAUAAGCAAUGGCUUCUAUUAACCAAACUACACGUGGUCGUCACCUUUCUAACUAUCCCCUUCAGCUUGGGCGUCACUUGGAAAACCACAAGAGGGAGCACACAAUUACACUGUAUGUCUAUACUUUUUCUCUUAAUUCUAACUAUUUUCACAUUUUUCCUUGUGGAUUACAUAUGGCAUAAUAAUCAUAGUAUUCACUUUUUUAUCAACUCUAGCUAUUCCUAAACGAUCCGAUGAACAUCGUAGUCCAAACUCAAGUGGUAUGAGCUAUCUCCCGCAUUCCGUGGAUGAAAAACUUCACAACCACUGAGAUGAUGGGAGGCAAUCUGCAAAUCUCUUCAUGAACGAUAAACCAGAGAGUUUCUUCGACGCGGAGCCAAAUUAUUUCUCGCGUUUCGUGAGUACUGCAGUUUACGCCAUUCACGUAUAGACGGCGCUAUUCGUAUGCUGGCAGUUUUUUUAAUUUGAACGGGUUAGGGUUUACGGGAUAGGAGUAUCGUUACAAAUAGUGAACACAAUCAACAGAAAAAUUUGAAGAAAACCCAAUUUUUUUUCAUAGCUUAACAUUUUAACGACAAGACUUCCUGUUUGUUACAGUCUUUAAUUUAUUAAA